CCUACGGGAGGCAGCAGUGAGGAAUAUUGGUCAAUGGGCGCGAGCCUGAACCAGCCAAGUCGCGUGAGGGAAGACGGUCCUAUGGAUUGUAAACCUCUUUUGUCGGGGAGCAAAAGACGCCACGCGUGGCGUUCCGAGAGUACCCGAAGAAAAAGCAUCGGCUAACUCCGUGCCAGCCGCCGCUGUAAUACGGGGGAUGCGAGCGUUAUCCGGAUUUAUUGGGUUUAAAGGGUGCGCAGGCGGAAGAUCAAGUCAGCGGUAAAAUUGAGAGGCUCAACCUCUUCGAGCCGUUGAAACUGGUUUUCUUGAGUGAGUGAGAAGUAUGCGGAAUGCGUGGUGUAGCGGUGAAAUGCAUAGAUAUCACGCAGAACUCCGAUUGCGAAGGCAGCAUACCGGCGCUCAACUGACGCUCAUGCACGAAAGUGUGGGUAUCGAACAGGAUUAGAUACCCGAGUAGUC
rnacentral:rRNA from 1 species